UGGGGAAUAUUGCACAAUGGGCGAAAGCCUGAUGCAGCGACGCCGCGUGAGGGAUGACGGCCUUCGGGUUGUAAACCUCUUUCAGUAGGGACGAAGCGCAAGUGACGGUACCUGCAGAAGAAGCACCGGCUAACUACGUGCCAGCAGCCGCGGUAAUACGUAGGGUGCGGGCGUUGUCCGGAAUUACUGGGCGUAGAGAGCUCGUAGGCGGUUUGUCACGUCGUCUGUGAAAUCCUCGGGCUUAACCCUGGACGUGCAGGCGAUACGGGCUGACUUGAGUACUACCGGGGAGACUGGAAUUUCUGGUGUAGCGGUGGAAUGCACAGAUAUCAGGAAGAACACCGAUGGCGAAGGCAGGUCUCUGGGUAGUAACUGACGCUGAGGAGCGAAAGCAUGGGUAGCGAACAGG
rnacentral:rRNA from 1 species